rnacentral:rRNA from 1 species
UACGUAGGGGGCUAGCGUUGUCCGGAAUCAUUGGGCGUAAAGAGCGCGUAGGCGGCCAGAUAAGUCCGCUGUGAAAGUCGGGGGCUCAACCCUCGAAUGCCGGUGGAAACUGUCGAGCUCGAGUCCGGAAGAGGCGAGUGGAAUUCCGUGGUGUAGCGGUGAAAUGCGCAGAUAUCAGGAGGAACACCAAUGGCGAAGGCAGCUCGCUGGGACGGCACUGACGCUGAGACGCGAAAGCGUGGGGAGCAAACAGG